AACCAGCACCUCAAGUGGUCAGGAUGAUUAUUGGGCCUAAAGCAUCCGUAGCCGGCUCUGUAAGUUUUCGGUUAAAUCUGUACGCUUAACGUACAGGCUGCCGGGAAUACUGCAAAGCUAGGGAGUGGGAGAGGUAGACGGUACUCGGUAGGAAGUGGUAAAAUGCUUUGAUCUAUCGAUGACCACCUGUGGCGAAGGCGGUCUACCAGAACACGUCCGACGGUGAGGGAUGAAAGCUGGGGGAGCAAACCGGAUUAGAUACCCGGGUAGUCCCAGCUGUAAACUAUGCAAACUCAGUGAUGCAUUGGCUUGUGGCCAAUGCAGUGCUGCAGGGAAGCCGUUAAGUUUGCCGCCUGGGAAGUACGUACGCAAGUAUGAAACUUAA
rnacentral:rRNA from 1 species